rnacentral:rRNA from 1 species
UACGUAGGGGGCAAGCGUUGUCCGGAAUCAUUGGGCGUAAAGCGUGUGUAGGCGGUCCACUAAGUCGGGUGUGAAAGCCCUGGGCUCAACCCAGGAAGUGCACUCGAAACUGGCGGGCUUGAGUAUCGGAGAGGUUGGUGGAAUUCUCGGUGUAGAGGUGAAAUUCGUAGAUAUUGGGAAGAACACCGGUGGCGAAGGCGGCCAUCUGGACCGGCACUGACGCUGAGGCGCGAAAGCGUGGGGAGCAAACAGG